UACAGAGGGGGCAAGCGUUGUUCGGAAUUACUGGGCGUAAAGGGCGCGUAGGCGGCCUGCUAAGUCGAACGUGAAAUCCCUGGGCUCAACCCAGGAACUGCGUCCGAUACUGGUUGGCUUGAAUCCGGGAGAGGGAUGUGGAAUUCCAGGGUGUAGCGGUGAAAUGCGUAGAUAUCUGGAGGAACACCGGGUGGCGAAGGCGACAUCCUGGACCGGUAUUGACGCUGAGGCGCGAAAGCCAGGGGAGCAAACGGGG
rnacentral:rRNA from 1 species